rnacentral:misc_RNA from 1 species
UCCUGCUCAUUCAAUCGCUAAACAGGUACCCUUUUUCCCUCUGUACCUCCUUCAUUUGUCUACAGUCGAUGGGUGAACCUUAAUUAAGGGUUUAGGUAGGAAGCUUAAUUCCUCCUUUCUGUUUGGAUGCUGAGAAAACAGAGGAAAAAGCGCUCGGUAGAUCCGCCCAUCCACAUCGGAGAAGCUUUCCUGCUCAUUCAAUCGCUAAACAGUGAUCAAUUUAAAGCGCAUGGAAAAUGAUGCAGAGCAAGCAAUGGGGAUAUCCUCAACUGUGCCCGGUAGCUCAGAUGGGUCUAACCCAAAAAGCUCAAGCCUUGUAUCCCGAGUGAAGAAGCUUCUGUUUCGCAAAAUGCUUGUGGGAAUUAAAGAUGGUCGCUUUUUCUUGGGUACCUUCCAUUGCAUUGACAAGCAAGGGAAUAUCAUUCUCCAAGAUGCAGUAGAAUAUCGAAGCACUCGACGUUCUUCUCCUUCUCCAAUGGAACAGCGGUGCCUUGGCCUAAUUCUUAUCCCUUCUUCUUGCAGAACCUCUUGUCAUGUGGAUUGCUCCAUUGAAGAACAAUUGUCACUGUUAAAGUUUCAGGAGUAGGUAGCCGUUUUGGGUUUCCAUAGUAUUCUGCUUCAAUUGGUGCAUCUCCUAGUUAGCUAUUUAUCAAUUAAGCAGAAUUUGCAUGCCUUCUAGAAUUUAGAAAUCGAUUUUUUUUUUUUAAUCUUUGCUUUGGCACUUUUCUUGUUUACCAUCCUUGUGUAUGCUUGAAUGAAUUGAUGAUGGAA